rnacentral:lncRNA from 1 species
GUCAUCUGUUAAAGUCAUGCCGAUUAUAAGAUACACAGUUUUUCUCUGCUUUCAAGUCUUUCUGUUUGAACCCGUCGAACUGGAACUUAUCAAUUAUUGGUAAUAUUAAUUAUUUGGAAAACAAAAGGUCCUGGAAUGGAGUAUUUUUUAAUCAACAGCAUUGUCCUAUAUAAGUUAUAAGUAAAGUUGAAUUCUUUGCCUCGCUGUUUUACGUCAUGCCCACUAACAAAUUGAAAACUGUACCUAUACGCCUUAUUUUUAGUCCAGAUUUUUAGUAUUCGUAUUGUUAUCUUAGAAAGUCUAACUGAUUAAAUACUACAAUAGGUAACAAUUUGACAAUUUAGUAGUAUCAACCCUGUGGUUAUGACCCGUGUAUAUAGCAUAUUAAUCCUGAAUACAACGUUUGGUGGUGCGCCUGUCAGAUGCGGAACGUACAGAUAAGGUAAUAGGUAACAGGUGAAUAUACUAUUGGUAUCGGUAGCGGACUCGACCCGGAACUUCUUCAUUAUUGGCAAUAUUAAUUACUUGGAAAACAAAAGGGCCUGGAGUGGUGUAAUUUUUAAUCUACACCUUUGUACUAUAUUAGUUAUAUAUAAAGUUGAAUUCUGUGAUUCGUCGUUUUUACGUGAUGACGGCUGACAAAUUGGACCUCGUAAUUUUAGUAUUAUAGAUAUAUU